GCAGAAGGAACGACCAGGAGGGAUAAAACCCUUUCUAACCCUAGUUCAUCAAAUCACCAAGAUUGGAUGUGUAAAUUUCACCUAAUUUGAAUGCAUGUGAUCCAAUUCUCGACCAUCUAAGAGUCUCAUACAUUGGGUAAGUCAGAUUUUGUGAUUUGAUGCUAGUUAGUGAUAGAUUGAAAGAAGAAGGAGCUAGUUCCGGUUCACAAACAAAGGCUCAAGAUCGAGGUAAAGCACCCGUAUGAUUGUCAUUGCGUCGCUCGGAUACGAACACACCUUGAUCACCCGUGAUGCGCUUCCGCAACUUUUGUAGUAACCUUAUUAGUUAAAGGUUUUUGUUAAAGUUAGUAGUGUUGAAGUUUUACGUUUUAACUAGAUGUUUGUGAAUAUUUAAGUAACUUAAACUUGAUGUUUUGAAACGGUAGUUUAAAUGUUAAGAUCUUUCUUAU
rnacentral:lncRNA from 1 species